rnacentral:rRNA from 1 species
AUACGUAGGUGGCAAGCGUUAUCCGGAAUUAUUGGGCGUAAAGAGGGAGCAGGCGGCAGCAAGGGUCUGUGGUGAAAGCCUGAAGCUUAACUUCAGUAAGCCAUAGAAACCAGGCAGCUAGAGUGCAGGAGAGGAUCGUGGAAUUCCAUGUGUAGCGGUGAAAUGCGUAGAUAUAUGGAGGAACACCAGUGGCGAAGGCGACGAUCUGGCCUGCAACUGACGCCCAGUCCCGAAAGCGUGGGGAGCAAAUAGGAUUAGAUACCCUAGUAGUCCACGCCGUAAACGAUGAGUACUAAGUGUUGGAUGUCAAAGUUCAGUGCUGCAGUUAACGCAAUAAGUACUCCGCCUGAGUAGUACGUUCGCAAGAAUGAAACUCAAAGGAAUUGACGGG